UUUGAUCCUCCAUAUUUCAUUUUGUACAGCAGCAAAUAAUAUAGAUGUGAAGUUGGUGAUGACGAUGAUGAAGAUGAGAUGAUGGUGGUGAUGAUGAGUUUAUGAACUUUCCUCUUCUUCUUCCAUGAGUCUUCUUCUUCUUCUCUUCUUUCUUCUCUUCUUCUUAUCCUUUCUUCUUUUCUUUCUUUCUGAUAACUCUCUCUCUCUUUCUACCUACUCUUCCUUCUUAUCC
rnacentral:lncRNA from 1 species